UGCGUAGGCGGGUCUUUAAGUCAGGGGUGAAAUCCUGGAGCUCAACUCCAGGACUGCCUUUGAUACUGAAGAUCUUGAGUUCGGGAGAGGUGAGUGGAACUGCGAGUGUAGAGGUGAAAUUCGUAGAUAUUCGCAAGAACACCAGUGGCGAAGGCGGCUCACUGGCCCGAUACUGACGCUGAGGCACGAAAGCUGGGGAGCAAACA
rnacentral:rRNA from 1 species